rnacentral:rRNA from 1 species
AGAGAAUAGAUACCCGGGUAGUCCACGCCCUAAACGAUGGAUACUAAGUAGGGGACCCUGCAAGGGGUUCCUUGCCGGAGCAAAAAAAGCGUUAAAGUAUCCCGCCUGGGGAGUAUGGUCGCAAGGCUGAAACUCAAAAGAAUUGACGGGGGCUCACACAAGCGGUGGAGCAUGUUGCUUAAAUUCGAUGCAACGCGAAGAACCUUACCCGGGCUCGAAGUGUACGGAUUAGCUCUAUGAAAGUAGAGUGACACCUUAACCGGUGGAACGUAUAAAGGUGUUGCAUGGCUGUCGUCAGCUCGUGUCGUGAGAUGUCGGGUUAAGUCCCUUAACGAGCGAAACCCCUGUCCUUAGUUGCCAUCGGGUCAUGCCGGGAACUCUAGGGAGACUGCCGGUGUUAAACCGGAGGAAGGUGGGGAUGGCGUCAAGUCAUCAUGGCCCUUACGUCCGGGGCGGCAAACGUGCUACAAUGGCCAUUACAGCGCGACGCAAGACCGCGAGGUGGAGCAAAUCGCUUAAAAACUGGCCCAGUUCGGAUUGGGAGGCUGCAAUUCGCCCCCAUGAAG